CUUUGGGUAGAGCAGGAAUCAAAAUAGGAUGCAACUGCACCAUUGCACCCCUAGGUUGGAUCUGCCUUUGCUAGACUCUUUCCUCUCUUCAUGCAGGUGCUAGAGAAAAGAGAAGGAAAAGAAGCAGCAUCCAUCUUAAGGAUUUCCAUGCUACUAUUCAGUGUAGAAAAUCAGCUACUCUGCUUAAAGUAUACAUCCCAUUUUUGGCAGACUAAGCUUUGGGGAAAAGAUGCAUGUGUUAUGUGAGUAAAUAGGGUAUUGUCAUUAAAAUAUAAUUUUUGUGCCAAAUAAUUGGUAAUCAGAAUACACAAAAUCUACUGAAAAAGAAAUCAGCUUGCAUGACACUGAAAUGAGAAGAUAUUUUAAAGUGGUUUGCCCUUUCUGUUGAUAGUGCUUGCAGUAUGUUAUUUUUCUGAUGAGCAGAGACAGAUGCCACAUUCCUCUUACAUUUCCACAGCUGCGGUGACAGUUCUGAUGGCGUCCUGAAAGACCACAUAGAAUGGGACUGACUUGAGGCUUAACCACUUCCACCAACAGGAUUUUGUGACUAAACAGAACGGCAUCAAAGGAUUCCUGGUUCAAUCACCCAACUGUCUUGGCAAUUAAAAUCUUCUUCAGGACCCCAAAUACUGGUUCACUGCUCAGGUAAAAAAGGAAUAAUGGCUUUAAAUACUGCAAAGGUGCCAUUUUAUUAGAUGAGUAUGUUUUUAUUUCCCUACUGGAAACCACCCAAGAAAACAAACAAACAAACCAAAACCAGAGACUGAUAUCCAGGUGAAGUGCUUACAAGGAGUAUAUCCCCAAAUAAAGUGACUGAACAAGUGAGCACAGCUGCCUGUUUGGGAACGUUGUCACUUGGACACAAGUGUUGAAAACAGAUUCAUGAGUGUGCCCAAGAACUGAGCACCGAAACAGAUUUUCAGACAAGUUCAACUUUUUCAGGUCAAGCAAGAAGAA